rnacentral:antisense_RNA from 1 species
UGUAGGAGCUGGCUUGCCUGCGAUGCAGGCACCUCGGUCUUCAGCUUGAUUGAGGUGAUGCCAUCGCAGGCAAGCCAGCUCCCACA